CUGACCUCGGAUCAGACGUGAUUACCCGCUGAACUUAAGCAUAUCACUAAGCGGAGGAAAAGAAACUAACAAGGAUUCCCUUAGUAACGGCGAGUGAACAGGGAUGAGCCCAGCACCGAAGCCUGUGGCCAUUUGGUUACUAGGCAAUGUGGUGUUUAGGUCGUUCCGCAGAGACACUGCUCCUCUCUAAGUCCAUCAAUGAGUACGGUUGUACUGACAUGGCCCACGGAGGGUGAAAGGCCCGUAAGAGAGGAGUUUUGGUAUGACAGUAUCUCUCUGGAUUGACCUUGGAGUCGGGUUGUUUGGGAAUGCAGCCCUAAGCGGGUGGUAAACUCCAUCCAAGGCUAAAUACAAGCACGAGUCCGAUAGCGAACAAGUACCGUGAGGGAAAGUUGAAAAGUACUUUGAAGAGAGAGUAAACAGUGCGUGAAACCGCUUAGAGGUAAACGGGUGGAGUUGAACUGCAAUCUCUGAGAAUUCAGCUGGGGAAUUUUGCUUGAGCUUGGUCAAAUUGGGCAGGGCCUCGGGGUAUGCUCAUGUGCAUGUUCUGACCUUCGGGUCGGGAUGCGCGUUGCUCUUAUCAAGGGCUGCGCGCCCCGGGUGUCCGGCUGGCUCUGUCGCCAGUGCACUUUCUCGGAGUGAUCACCACGACCGGCGCUGCUGCUUGGCUGUUUUUGUCAAACCGAACGUUCAUCGUCCUUGUGGCGUUGGGUGGACGGCACGGCAGGUAACUGGGGGCUUGCUUCGGCUUGCUGCUCGGUGUAUGUCGGCUUUAACGGUUCUAUGCGGUGUGUCGGAGACGGCGGCUAGUAGUGUGUGCGUGCGUAUCUAUCUGUUGGCAUAUUCUGGUUUGGUGACUGUGUGCUUGUUCAAGCAGGCCCAGUUAUGGCCGGGGUGUGUCAGUGGGUGGUUGCGUGUGUGGCACUUUUCAGGGCCAACAGUCUGUGGUGUUGUGGUAGACUAUCCACCUGACCCGUCUUGAAACACGGACCAAGGAGAGUAACAUGUGCGCGAGUCAUUGGGCGUAACGAAACCCACAGGCGCAGUGAAAGUAAAGGUCUGGCUUGUCCAGUCUAAGGUGAGAUCCUGUCGUAGUUCAUGCGAGGUACCACCAAGCUUGGAGCGAUGGGCGCAUCACCGGCCCGUCCCAUGACGUGGUCACAGUCUUCGGAUUGUGCGCCGUGGGGGCGGGG
rnacentral:rRNA from 1 species